AUUGAACGCUGGCGGCAGGCCUAACACAUGCAAGUCGAGCGGAGCGGCGGACGGGUGAGUAAUGUCUGGGGACCUGCCCGAUAGAGGGGGAUAACUAAUGGAAACGGUGGCUAAUACCGCCUACUAUCGGAUGAACCCAGAGGGGAUUAGCUAGUAGGUGGGGUAACGGCUCACCUAGGCGACGAUCUCUAGCUGGUCUGAGAGGAUGAUCAUCCACACUGGGACUGAGACACGGCCCAGACUCCUACGGGAGGCAGCAGGGGGGAAUAUUGGACAAUGGGCGAAAGCCUGAUCCAGCCAUGCCGCGUGUGUGAAGAAGGUCUUCGGAUGGUGGAGCACUUUAAGUUGUGAGGCGUUACCCACAGAAUAAGCACCGGCUAACUCCGUGCCAGCAGCCGCGGUAAUAC
rnacentral:rRNA from 1 species